AGGAUGGGCACGCGAAGGAACCUCGAUGUUGAUGGUCGAGCCCUCCGUAACAGUAGCCCGACGGCUAAGCAUCUGAUCUAAUGAUGACAACUGCCAGCCAGCCAGCCAGCCAAACGGUUAAUUUUGCGCAGGCCCGGACGGAAGGACUAUCUGAUCGUACGUGUCCUUGAAUAAACCCUAAGCGAACAUGCAGAAUUCCAGGACGAUAGCUCAAUAUCAGCCAGUCCCGCUGUUGAACACAGGUCUCCGUGAAAAAAAAAACUAUUUAAACACUGCUUGUCCUACUGUUGGAAACAACUUAAGAAUGUCUGCUGACGCAACCGCCAAAGCACGCACCGUGGAAAUAAAUCAGAUUUCUAUCCCGUGUCAUAUUGUAAAGAUAAAGUAACAUGGUAUAGGCCUACCCAUGCAAAUAUGACACGUUACAUUAUAAUUCCAUCCUCAAGACCGACCGAUUGGGUGCAUUUAAUUUUGAACUGUCCUAGCAUGAUGUAACUGCUUAGUAGGCUCAUUUUUGUACGUUUGGACAAGGAAAUAGUAUGUUUUUCUUACAUUUGUAAUGGAGAAUGUCUGUUGUUGGUUUGGUUGCCUUCUCACCAAACAGAGAAUAUAGGCUACAUAUGUUACUGCUAAUCUUGCUACAUGGAUAUAUGUUACUGCUAAUCUUGGAAUUGUAACUUUUUUGCAUAUGAAUAGAUAGAAAAUAAA